rnacentral:rRNA from 1 species
AUGAGUUAUAUUAAUCCCCAGGAGUAUGACCCACCGGAACUGAUUGAAUGCCUUGAGCUGCAUCUCAAAGAAGUACUGUUGAAGAAUUAUGAUGGCACCAUCCCUUUGUGUAUUGACUUCGCCAAGUUCUUUGUUUUGAAUGCGAAAGUGCUAAAGGAAAUGAAAAUCACAUUGCCUUACCACCGGCAGUACAACUGGUUUGCUAAUCAACACCGGCUGCUGCGGACCAAAGAUAGAAUUUCUCAAGAUGCUCGAAUUGAACUGAAAUGCGGAACUAAAGUUUAUUUCACAGACAACAGGAACACCCAUGAUUUGUCAAUGACUGAUCCUUUUGACGUCCCCUCCACAGGAUGCAAAAAGUGUAGUGGAUCCCCAUUUUGA